UACGUAGGUGACCAGCGCUGUCCGGAUUUACUGGGCGUAAAGGGUGCGUAGGCGGGUCUUUAAGUCAGGGGUGAAAUCCUGGAGCUCAACUCCAGAACUGCCUUUGAUACUGAGGAUCUUGAGUACGGGAGAGGUGAGUGGAACUGCGAGUGUAGAGGUGAAAUUCGUAGAUAUUCGCAAGAACACCAGUGGCGAAGGCGGCUCACUGGCCCGUUACUGACGCUGAGGCACGAAAGCGUGGGGAGCAAACAGG
rnacentral:rRNA from 1 species